UGGGGAAUUUUGGACAAUGGGCGAAAGCCUGAUCCAGCAAUGCCGCGUGUGUGAAGAAGGCCUUCGGGUUGUAAAGCACUUUUGUCCGGAAAGAAAUGGCUCUGGUUAAUACCUGGGGUCGAUGACGGUACCGGAAGAAUAAGGACCGGCUAACUACGUGCCAGCAGCCGCGGUAAUACGUAGGGUCCAAGCGUUAAUCGGAAUUACUGGGCGUAAAGCGUGCGCAGGCGGUUGUGCAAGACCGAUGUGAAAUCCCCGAGCUUAACUUGGGAAUUGCAUUGGUGACUGCACGGCUAGAGUGUGUCAGAGGGGGGUACAAUUCCACGUGUAGCAGUGAAAUGCGUAGAGAUGUGGAGGAAUACCGAUGGCGAAGGCAGCCCCCUGGGAUAACACUGACGCUCAUGCACGAAAGCGUGGGGAGCAAACAGG
rnacentral:rRNA from 1 species